rnacentral:rRNA from 1 species
GACGAACGCUGGCGGCGUGCUUAACACAUGCAAGUCGAACGGAAAGGCCCUGCUUUUGUGGGGUGCUCGAGUGGCGAACGGGUGAGUAACACGUGAGUAACCUGCCCUUGACUUUGGGAUAACUUCAGGAAACUGGGGCUAAUACCGGAUAGGAGCUCCUGCUGCAUGGUGGGGGUUGGAAAGUUUCGGCGGUUGGGGAUGGACUCGCGGCUUAUCAGCUUGUUGGUGGGGUAGUGGCUUACCAAGGCUUUGACGGGUAGCCGGCCUGAGAGGGUGACCGGCCACAUUGGAACUGGGAUACGGCCCGGACUCCUACGGGAGGCAGCGGUGGGGAAUAUUGCACAAUGGGCGGAGGCCUGAUGCAGCAACGCCGCGUGCGGGAUGACGGCCUUCGGGUUGUAAACCGCUUUCGCUGUGACGAAGCGUGAGUGACGGUAAUGGGUAAAGAAGCACCGGCUAACUACGUG